rnacentral:rRNA from 1 species
UGGGGAAUCUUCCGCAAUGGACGAAAGUCUGACGGAGCAACGCCGCGUGAGUGAUGACGGCCUUCGGGUUGUAAAGCUCUGUUAAUCGGGACGAAUGGUUCUUGUGCGAAUAGUGCAAGGAUUUGACGGUACCGGAAUAGAAAGCCACGGCUAACUACGUGCCAGCAGCCGCGGUAAUACGUAGGUGGCAAGCGUUGUCCGGAAUUAUUGGGCGUAAAGCGCGCGCAGGCGGAUUGGUCAGUCUGUCUUAAAAGUUCGGGGCUUAACCCCGUGAUGGGAUGGAAACUGCCAAUCUAGAGUAUCGGAGAGGAAAGUGGAAUUCCUAGUGUAGCGGUGAAAUGCGUAGAUAUUAGGAAGAACACCAGUGGCGAAGGCGACUUUCUGGACGAAAACUGACGCUGAGGCGCGAAAGCCAGAGGAGCGAACGGG